UGGGGAAUCUUGGACAAUGGGCGCAAGCCUGAUCCAGCCAUGCCGCGUGAGUGAAGAAGGCCUUCGGGUUGUAAAGCUCUUUUACCAGGGACGAUAAUGACGGUACCUGGAGAAUAAGCCCCGGCAAACUUCGUGCCAGCAGCCGCGGUAAUACGAAGGGGGCUAGCGUUGUUCGGAAUUACUGGGCGUAAAGCGCACGUAGGCGGAUUGUUAAGUCAGAGGUGAAAUCCCGGAGCUCAACUUCGGAACUGCCUUUGAUACUGGCAAUCUAGAGUCCGGAAGAGGUUAGUGGAAUUCCGAGUGUAGAGGUGAAAUUCGUAGAUAUUAGGAAGAACACCAGUGGCGAAGGCGGCCAACUGGCUCGAUACUGACGCUGAGGUGCGAAAGCGUGGGGAGCAAACAGGAUUAGAUACCCUUGUAGUCCCUGAGCGGGCUGGCAAGGCGCAU
rnacentral:rRNA from 1 species